UUUUUGUUUUCAUUUAAUCAUUGCACAAACAUGAAUUGAUUAUAUGUUUUCUUACUUUAAGUAGGAUGUUUGAAUAUUAUGCUUCUAAAAACCGUCCGCAUCAAUAUCGUCGAAGACAGGAGCUCAAUUUGAAGACUUGGGAGAAACCGGCUCCAGAAACCCUAAAUUUGUAAAACCUGGCAGGCUUCGAUGGGUGACAUGGUCGCGUGUGCAGGGUGAUUGGUGCCAAGCUGCCGAUCUCGACUGAUGAUGACGCAGACGGCGUCAUUUGAGCUUUUGCAGGGGCAGCUCGCACAGAUUGUGGGUCACACUCUGCAGCUGACCAACUUUUCGUGUACUGUUGUCAAAUCAUGGAGCUCAUUGAGGCGUCCUCCUUAUCUCAGUGCUGCAACGAUAUUAAGUCCACAUCCUUACCAACCCCAUAUGAAUCAACCUGGGUUGUUGUUACCCACAUUGAUAAAGCAAACGACUCGAACCGAUGGAAAAUCCAUGCCUAGUUGCGACCAGGCUACGUCGACGAUGUACCUCGAGAAACUAGUCUGGAAUUCCUAAUUUCGAGAAUGUGAUGUUAAACAAACUGCAGCUGGCGCUUUGCUUCUGUGCCAUCUCCUCCUUGACAGUCUCUGAGCGCAAUCAAGGCGAGUUAUCUACCUGUAGCAUGUGUGCUGCAGUUAGUGCAAAAGUCCAGUCACUUGACGCCUCGGGUGUGCAGUACACACAAUAUUGAUGCGGACGCUUGUGUCCUGCGUCAUUACCAUGCGACGAGACGAGAGGACAUCACGGGGGUCAGCCUGUCGAUCUCAUGAGGAGUCGUUACGACCUACCAUCACUGCGCCUCAUGAACACAUUGAUUUCGGCGAGCAUGGCUGUUGGCCCCGUUACCUAGCAGGCGGGACCUUGCCUGCUAAAGCUGGAAGAAGAAAAAUGGUGAAAUGAGAUUACCAAAGGAAUUAGACUCGGCGAGACAAUUUUGCUAAGAAAUUUGGAGCGCUGGCCUGCUGGGCCGUUCCAGGAUAGUAAAUACGUACUUGUGUAGUGACUGGUGCUUGUGUUUGAAUGAAAGUUAGUUUAUAGUUUUUCAAAGUUACGAUAGAGAUUACUGCGGUAAUGUAGUUUGAGCAGUCUGGGCAGCUACUACAUCGAUGCUUGCUUGCAGCCAGAUAGUUCGUGUGGACGAUGUUCUUGUGAUUCUCAUUGCGUUUUUCUCCAAGUCUUAUACCAGCUCAACUUGCAACUAUUGGUAGAUAACAGAGCGAUCCCUUGAGACAAGGGAAUUGACAGAUAAGACCAUUUGAUGGCAGCGCAUCAGGCUCUGCUAGCGAAUCUUACAGUGGCUGUGGAGGCUGGACAAGAUACACAGCAGAUUUAGAGGUUUCAUUGGCAGCAUAUGCCACAGCCCUAGUUGUGAGAAUACAGCUGGAUUCUCAGACACCGCAGGGUCUCCGCACACACUUUUCAACGCCGUGACUUGGAUCGCAAACAUGUGGCCGUCUCUCCGAAACCUACACCAAUUGACAGCAAGCAAAGUGGGUAGUUCUAAUCGUGACGGCUUUCUGACAGGAUUAAAGCCGCUUGCUCUACAUGUGGCCGACUCUUUUCCUUUCAAGCUUAUAUUAUUCUCUAUGUCUGAGCUGGAAGUAUCACCACGCGUAGUUAGCAGGUGCAGGAGGGAGGCGAUUGAUUCUCGUGCAUCACGAUGUUGAAAUCGCUUUGCUCCACCUCCUCGACGAAAAACGACAGAUGGUGCCACAGUUAUUCUUAUUUUCUUCAUCGAUUCAAGUGGGAGAGAACGGAAGAAUUAACACACAUAAGUAAACUCUGACCACCGGCAGAGCUGCUGUUCUCACGACCUUGAAGCGAUUGCGGCCAAAAGAUCCGCCGUUCUAGAUUCAGCCCCAUGAACUUCUCUUGAAUAAUUAGUUGGUGAAACAAUGGCAGAUUUGGUGUAGUACUGAUUAGCUUGAGAAGGAUAUUCAUGAAAGGGUAGAUGAACAUCAGGAAAGUGUGGGAAGUAAACCCUAAUUCUGCCCCAUUUCAUGCCAUGGCAGGGCCGUCAUCACA